rnacentral:rRNA from 1 species
UUCCCAGACUCCUACGGGAGGCAGCAGUCGGGAAUAUUGCGCAAUGGAGGAAACUCUGACGCAGUGACGCCGCGUAUAGGACGAAGGUCUUCGGGUUGUAAACUAUUGUCGUUGGGGAAGAGAAAGGACAGUACCUAAGGAGGAAGCUCCGGCUAACUACGUGCCAGCAGCCGCGGUAAUACGUAGGGGGCAAGCGUUAUCCAGAUUUACUGGGUGUAAAGGGAGCGUAGACGGCAUGGCAAGUCAGAUGUGAAAGCCCGGGGCUCAACCCCGGGACUGCAUUUGAAACUGUCAGGCUGGAGUGCAGGAGAGGUAAGUGGAAUUCCUAGUGUAGCGGUGAAAUGCGUAGAUAUUAGGAGGAACACCAGUGGCGAAGGCGGCUUACUGGACUGUAACUGACGUUGAGGCUCGAAAGCGUGGGGAGCAAACAGGAUUAGAUACCCCAGUAAG